GGAAGGAUCAUUAACACGUAUCCACGUAUUAACCAAACGCGAACAUGUUCUCCCUAAUAAUUGUUGUGCUGUUUGAUUGAAUCAUGGUGGGUAUGCAUUCGUGCAUACGAUUCAAUUGAACUUGAGCUUCGAGCUCUAGGCUUUACUAUUUAUUAGGCUUUCUUUUCCAUCAUACCUUUCUUCCUUAAGGUACGAUGGAAUUAUAAAAACCUAUUUCACCCUAACUAUCAACAUUUGACUAAUACUAUUCACUUGGAGAAAUCCAAGCCUGAAUUGAGUUAUCUUAACUAAGCACAACUCUUAGCAAUGGAUAUCUUGGUUCUCGCAACGAUGAAGAACGCAGCGAAAUGCGAUAUGUAAUGCGAAUUGCAGAAUUCAGUGAAUCAUCAAAUCUUUGAACGCAAAUUGCGCUCUCGGGAUAGUCCUGGGAGCACACCUCUCUGAGUAUCGGUUCAAACUCAACUCUUCAGCGUGCUUGCAUGCAGAAGGAAAAUGAGAGUCUUAGCUGAUCUAGCUAAGUCUCUUGAAAUAUGUUGAGCUUUAGAUCUCCUAGUAAUUCAAUCAUUCGUGAUUGAUAGCCUCAUAGGCCCUUUUCUACUAGUGACGUGGAUAAUAUCACCUUCGCGGUGUCUUGAAACGUCUUAUCUAGAAGUUAAAGAAUUGUUUAUGAGUGUGAACGACUAGGUAGUUCUCUAGCGUUAGAAUUGAACUGUCUCUUUUCGAGACUCCUCGAAUUAGAUCUCAGAUGAAGUGAGACAAACCCCCUGAAUUUAAGCAUAUUAAUAAGGGGAGGAAAAGAAACUAACAAGGAUUCCCCUAGUAACGGCGAGUGAAGCGGGAUGAGCUCAAUUUGAAAAUCGGUAAUCCAAGCGGGUUAUCGAAUUGUAGCCUAGAGACGUGUCAUCAGCGUGUGAGCCAGGUACAAGUCCUUUGGAAGAAGGCAUCAUAGAGGGUGAGAAUCCCGUCUCUGAUCUGGAUUUCGCCGCGUACGAUGCAUGUUCACAGAGUCGAGUUGUUUGGGAUUGCAGCUCUAAAUGGGUGGUAAGUUUCAUCUAAAGCUAAAUAUUGGCGAGAGACCGAUAGCGAACAAGUACCGUGAGGAAAGAUGAAAAGAACUUUGAAAAGAGAGUUAAAAAGUACUUGAAAUUGCUAAGAGGGAAGGAAUAGAAACCAGUCGUGCUUGCAGUCAUAUCCAUCAUCUGCUCUCGAAGGUAUGCGUACUAAGUUCGAAAGUCUUAGUGCGUAUUCGGACGAAGGGUAGGUGGUUCUGUGGCUGCGAGUGGGUCAGAAUCAAUUCGGUUCGCAGGAGAAAGGUGUAAGAAAGGUAGGUUUGGCUUCGGUUAAACUGUUAUAGACUUAUGCCCAUACUGUGUUCUGGAUUGAGGAUGAAAUGAUGCGCCUUUGGCUUGGUAACCUGCUCCUGCUAGAUCAUCAGGUUUGGAUAGCAAUGCUAUGCGGUCUGAGAAGUCUGGUACUGGGUGGGAUUACCAUAUGCAUCAUCGCGAUUCUGACAAAAUGGUUUCUAUUCACCCGUCUUGAAACACGGACCAAGGAGUCUAACAUAUAUGCGAGUAUUUGGGUGGUAAACCCUGGUGCGCAAUGAAAGUAAAGGUAGCUUGUCUACUGAGGUAGGAACCCGGCAACGGGGGCACUAUCGACCGAUCAUCACUUGUGAAAGAUUUGAGUAAGAGCAUAUCUGUUGGGACCCGAAAGAUGGUGAUCUAUGCCUGAACAGGGUGAAGCCAGGGGAAACUCUGGUGGAGGCUCGUAGCGAUACUGACGUGCAAAUCGUUCGUCUGAUUUGGGUAUAGGGGCGAAAGACUAAUCGAACCAUUUAGUAGCUGGUUCCCUC
rnacentral:misc_RNA from 1 species